CCCUGGUGGCUCAGAUGGUUAAGAAUCUGCCUGCAAUGCAGGAGACCCAGGUUCAAUUCCUGGGUCAGGUA
rfam:Ovis aries breed Texel chromosome 1, whole genome shotgun sequence.